UGGUUAGAGCACUGACUGCUCUUCCAGAGGUCCUGAGUUCAAUUCCCAGCAACAACAUAAUGGCUCACAACCAUCUGUAAUGAGAUCUGGUGGCCUCUUCUGGUGUCUGAAGACAGCUGCAGUGUAUGUAUGUAUGUAUGUAUGUAUGUAUGUAUGUAUGUAUGUAUGUGUAUAUGUAUAUGUAUAUGUAUAUAAUAAUAUUUCAAAAAAAGCACCUGGGGUAUGGGAGGCCUGGGUACUUAGGGCAGGCCUUUCUGGAGAGGGGUUAUACUUGAGCUAGAUCCAGAUGAGAGGUGCCCGACAUCCCACAUCCGCACCCCUAUAUACCACAAAGGUUACAGCUUGUGCCUUUGGUGAAGUCACGGGGUUGUUCUCCUGAACAAAAGUCAAGCUGGAGACCCUGGAGGGCCCAAGAUGAGCAGCCAGGGGCCCCGGGACAAAGAGGCAGUGGGAUCCCAGAACUGAGCAUGUAGCCGUCAGCCAGCCUGGGAGGGACUUUUUCCUUCUGUGACCUACUGUUUUGCCCAGGUCCCCGUUAGAAAUUCGGGCAUAAGACCCAAGCUUCAAAACAGAGUGCCAGUCACUAGAGACUGAUAAGAGCCUCCGAAGAACCGGGGAAUUUAAAACAGUAUGGUCUCGGUUGUACUCUGUUGACCAAGUGGGUCAGAAAUGUGGGCUAGCCCUGAGCUCUGUGUUCAAGGAAGACAUUUUGGGGCCACAUAUUCCUGGCAUGCUUUCUGAUUUGGGGCCAGAGGGUUUGGCAGGGACCCUGAGUAGCCCCUUCCAUAUACCUGUACAGGGCUCUCAUCCCUGGUCUGAGUGAUCCUGGCCCGGGGGCGGGGGCCCCACAGGCUCUUUUCUAAAGCAGGAUCGGUUCUCUGGCCAUUGAAACGUCCUUUGUCCCAUUGGGAGAGACUGGGACACGGGACUCGAAUAAAUGCAAUUUUGAAAGUCAUUUUUCUUAGCUUAGGAGCACAGAAAACAAUUCCUAUGUUGGAAUUAUUCUAAUGAGUCCGGCCUCACUUCAAAGGGUUUAAUGUAAUAAAAGGAAGAGACAGGGCUCCAAUGGGGCCUAAUUAGAUUUUCUUUCCACACUCAUCCUGCAUUUGUUUUCUGAAGAGUGGCCAGGCCCGGGAGAUCUGUGAGGGUCCAGCGUGCAGAGAGCUAAGAGCCAGGCUUGGCUAGAGAAGAACCAUCAGUCUCCCUGAGCCUGACAACUGAGAUCCGCUCCCAGCAGGACUGGGCCGCCACCUCUCGAGUCAACAGGGUUUGGGACCACAUGGGAGGGGUCUUGAGAGGACAGAGGGCUCCCUGGGUCAGCGAGUGGGAUGUGUGGGGUGGGUCUGGAGUCGAGCUGCCUGCCUUUGGCCCUCUUCUGUGCCAGCGGUGUGAUCAUGAGGACCUGAGCUUGCCUUUCCGCGGCUCCGUUUCCCCAUCCGUGAAACGCGCGUGUGAGAGGACCACCCUCUUAAAAUCAAGGUGCAAAAGCCACAGCACCUAGCACUUAAGCAUGUCAGAUUUAGAGGCCGGAGGCAGUGUGAGAACCCAGCACUGUAGCCUCAUCCUCCUAAGAAAUUCCUUGACCAAAGGAUGCUGCUUUAGGCAAACCUCACUUUGGGGGUUCCAAGUUGAGGUGGCUGAAAAGAGGGAGGUGUUCAGCGGGAAGAUAUUUUUUGGAUCUCUUAAGCAGUUGAUGUCUGUCACUGUCUUUACUCUAGGUGCACUUGGUCAAUAGACAAUUAGAUUCCCAAGUUGAAAAGUUCUUUCUCUAAGCAGGAAAUCUAAGUUCUCAGUGGCGAACCAGACUCAGGUCAGAUCGCCCCCCAGCAGCAGGGCUUCACAUUCCCAGUGGUGUGUCCCUGCAUGGCGUGCCUUGCCCUGCCCUUCUUGCUGUUUCCUUAUCCGUCAUUCAGCCUUUAUCCUUUCCUUUCCCUCUGGUUUAAAAAAUUACACUUAUUUCUUUAUUUUCUAGGAGUGUGGCCAUGUACAUCACACUGCGCAUGUGCAAGUGGGACAGUGCGCAUGCGCAGAUGGGAAAGGACUGCUGGGGUAAGGCAGCCCUCUUCUUUAUAUCGUGUCAUUUCCUGGGAUGUUGCUGUGAUCUGCAGGUUCCAUUGCAAGCCUUGACACAGGCCAGUGUCUGUUGAAAUAGGAACAAGCCUUCCCAGAUCUGUUUCAUCUUGUCUCAUCUGCUGCAAUGGAUGGAACCAUUGGCUCUGAAACUGUGAGCCCAGACAAGCCCUUUCUCCAUCGAGUUGAUUCUGUCAUUAUUUUAUCCCAAAGACAAGAAAAGGAUCCAGUACACCGUAGGACAUCCCUUAACUCUGUGAAUUUCAGUUUCUCCUGCUGGGAUGAGAAUGUUGCAGAGAUUCAGCAGUAUGUGUAAGGUGCUGCACACCCCAUCAGGCUCACUAGCAAGUGUUCCUUUAGCUCAAGUGACCAUCAGUGUUACAUGUUACUUGGUUGGCUGUCUUUAAAAAAUGUUAUAAAUAAAAAAUGUUAUGUAGCA